rnacentral:rRNA from 1 species
UACAGAGGUCUCAAGCGUUGUUCGGAUUCAUUGGGCGUAAAGGGUGCGUAGGCGGCGCGGUAAGUCGGGUGUGAAAUUUCGAGGCUUAACUUCGAAACUGUAUUCGAUACUGCCGUGCUUGAGGACUGGAGAGGAGACUGGAAUUUACGGUGUAGCGGUGAAAUGCGUAGAUAUCGUAAGGAAGACCAGUGGCGAAGGCGGGUCUCUGGACAGUUCCUGACGCUGAGGCACGAAGGCCAGGGGAGCAAACGGG